UACGGGGGGGGCAAGCGUUGUUCGGAAUUACUGGGCGUAAAGGGCUUGUAGGUGGCCAACUAAGUCCGACGUGAAAUCCCUAGGCUUAACCUAGGAACUGCGUCGGAUACUGGAUGGCUUGAAUCCGGGAGAGGGAUGCGGAAUUCCAGGUGUAGCGGUGAAAUGCGUAGAUAUCUGGAGGAACACCAAUGGCGAAGGCAGCUCGCUGGGACGGUACUGACGCUGAGACGCGAAAGCGUGGGGAGCAAACAGG
rnacentral:rRNA from 1 species